UGUUGUUUUCCAAUUUAUUAAAAAUUGAAAUUGAGAAGACACCUGAGAAUGGAUUUCUAGACAGAAAAUAAUUUUCUAUCAAAAUUUCAAAUAAUCAUCUAGAUUGUUCUACAUUUUAAACUUACAAACACCUCAAAUCCGCUAUUAAAAUUAUCGACCCUAACACAAGUGGCUAAGGAUUUGAUGGUUGAUUUUUAAGAUCACAAAUUCGAAACGUAGUUGCUUCAUCUUUUCAUCUAAUUAAGUUCAUCUCUAAAAACCAUGAACUAGCGAUAACAUGCUAGCUAUCAUUCUCUCUAAAUAUUUCAAAAUUUUUAUUUAACUUUAUUUUUGAUGAUGAGACAUGUAUCCGAAUCAACAAUAAUUAACUCUAUUUGACAUGACCUAUAAUAAUAUUUGAGGUAACAUGGGCACAAGUAAUCAUCAUGUGUUUGAAUUAAUGAUGCUUUUCUCUUUCAUAUAUGUAUAUCUUUUUGUACAAUUGUAUAAUAUCUAGGAAUUCUUUUUUUUUUUUCUUUAUUCACUAAUAUAUAUAGAGCGAGAGUGACAUAUACUAUGCAUCCACCUAGGUUAAUUAAGCCCUAGCUAGAUGUUUGUUGCUAAAAUAUUAAAGAGCUAGCAACUAUAUAUGUACCCAUACAUCUAUUUCAAUCGAGAUAAUUAAUUAAUGCUCAUGUAACUUAUAGCUAGCUAGCUUGGAUAUUUACUCUCAACUUGUAUUAUUAUUCAUGACAUGAAAAAGUUAAUAGAAUAAAUAAAAGGAGAUUGAGAGAUAACAUCAUCCGAUGCUUUUUAUAAGCAUAAAAGAAAUCUCAUUUCUAAGAAAAAUAAACCAAGCAGUUAGUAUGCUAGUCUCUCAAAUAUAUAUAUAUAUAUAAUUCUCUCUCUCUCUCUCUCUCUCUCUAUAUAUAUAUAUAUAGAGUUUUGGUAGAAUGCUAUUGGUAGUAAACGGCUCGAUUUACUAUCGAUUUGUUUUCGAUAAUAGAGCUUCAAAAUUGAUGAUCGGCACCGUUAAACAUGAUUUAAACUCUUUAAACUAUCUGGAAAUCAAAUUUAACACCUUUUCCAUGUUGUUCUCUUGUCCAUCAAGUGAAUAGAAAAAUAAAUGGCUGGAAAUGAAUAUCCUUCAAAAAGUGAUAAUACAAUUUUUAUAUUUGAGAUCUAGAGUCUAGAUCUUAUUUUAAAUAGUUUAAAGAAUUUUUUAACAAAAAUUUAGUUGAUUUGAACUCUUCUAUACAAUUAAACGAGCAAACACACCAUAUUGGCCAUUAAAAUUAUAGAUUUUGCGACCCUUCGAUCGUUCAGUUAGUGAUGCCAAAAAAUCAUGAAAUUUGAUUUCUAGAUAAUUUAAAUGGUCUAGAUCAUGUUCAACGGUGCCGAUCGUCGAUUUGAAAGGUCUAUCAUCAAAAACAAAUUGGUAGUAAACCAAACAAUUUACUACCAAUAGUAGCCCAGUCAAACUCUCUCUCUCUCUCUCUCUCUCUCUCUCUCUAUAUAUAUAUAUAUAUAUUUCAAUAAUUAAUAUCUUAAUAAAUAGAAGAGAAGUAUAUAUAUUAAUAUCUCUUCUUCCUUUAUCAUUGUGUACCAGCAAGAAGUUUUGUUCUCCACUGUAUUGUACGUAGAGUGACCAAAUCAAACUACAAAUUUAAUGUGAAUAUGUACAUUUACAUAUUCCUAUUAAUUCUCUCUCUCUCUCUCUCUCUCUCUCUCUCUCUCUCUCUACAUAUAUAUAUAUUUAUCCAUUUUGUUUGUUUUUUUUUACUCCUUGGACCACAUGCAUGAAUCCAUGGACAAUUACAUUGUCUAUAUAUUUACAGUUCACUCCCAAUGCUGACAUUUGGUUUUGCUCUCCCUUCUCUCAUAUUUUGCUUGUGAUUUUAGGUCCAUGUACAACUUCAUUUUUUAGCUUUGUUUUUGUUUUUUAAUUUGAAUAAACUAUUUUACAACUUUUUUUGUAGUAGAGGAACAUUCAUUACUUAAUUGGUUGUUUAGUUUCAUCUCUUAUUUCUCUGUUCUAGGGAGAAUAUUUAUAUUCUUCUUUUUUAAAAUAUCUUUAUAUUCUUCUUUUUCCAGCCCUAUGUAUAUAUAACAACUUUAUGAAAAAAUUUACACAUAUAGCUUACAAUAAAACUACAAAUUUGAGAAGAUUCUGUUGUUUUCCAAUUUAUUAACCAAUAAUUUGCACAUAUAUAUAUAUUACAAAUUGAAUUUGAGAAGACACCUAAGAAUGGAUUCCUAGAUAGUGAAAAAUAAUUUUCUAUUAAAAUUUCAAAUCAUUUAGAUUAUUCUACAUUUUUUAAACUUACAAACACCUUAAAUUUGCCAUUAAAAUUAUCGAUUUUGACCGACCGUCUAUAGCAUAAGUGACAAAAGACUUGAUGGUUGGUGCUCAUGCAAGAUUCCGAGUUCGAAACCUAAUUCCUUCACAUUUUCAGUUAAGUAUAUUUCUAAAAACCACGAAUAUAGCAUAGUAGUAUGCUAUCGUUCUCUCUCGAAAAAAAAAAAAAAUCAUUGAUCAUGAUAUAAAAAAUUAUAAAAUAUGGCUUCUAAAUAUUUUUAAAUAUUUUUAUUUAAUUUUGUUUUUGAUGAUGAGGCAAUGUACCCGAAUCAACAACCAUUAACUCUAUUAGACAUGACCUAUAAUAAUAUUUGAGGUAA
rnacentral:lncRNA from 1 species